CUUCAGCUGAGGAUUCCCACAAUAGGACGAAACGGCAGUCCAGAAA
rnacentral:hammerhead_ribozyme from 1 species